AUGUGCUGUGAGCUCGAUGAGUAGGGCGGGACACGUGGUAUCCUGUCUGAAUAUGGGGGGACCAUCCUCCAAGGCUAAAUACUCCUGACUGACCGAUAGUGAACCAGUACCGUGAGGGAAAGGCGAAAAGAACCCCGGCGAGGGGAGUGAAAAAGAACCUGAAACCGUGUACGUACAAGCAGUGGGAGCACAGGUUUACCUGUGUGACUGCGUACCUUUUGUAUAAUGGGUCAGCGACUUAUAUUCUGUAGCAAGGUUAACCGUAUAGGGGAGCCGGAGGGAAACCGAGUCUUAACCGGGCGUUAAGUUGCAGGGUAUAGACCCGAAACCCGGUGAUCUAGCCAUGGGCAGGUUGAAGGUUGGGUAACACUAACUGGAGGACCGAACCGACUAAUGUUGAAAAAUUAGCGGAUGACCUGUGGCUGGGGGUGAAAGGCCAAUCAAACCGGGAGAUAGCUGGUUCUCCCCGAAAGCUAUUUAGGUAGCGCCUCGUGAAUUCAUCUCCGGGGGUAGAGCACUGUUUCGGCUAGGGGGCCAUCCCGGCUUACCAACCCGAUGCAAACUGCGAAUACCGGAGAAUGUUAUCACGGGAGACACACGGCGGGUGCUAACGUCCGUCGUGAAGAGGGAAACAACCCAGACCGCCAGCUAAGGUCCCAAAGUCAUGGUUAAGUGGGAAACGAUGUGGGAAGGCCCAGACAGCCAGGAUGUUGGCUUAGAAGCAGCCAUCAUUUAAAGAAAGCGUAAUAGCUCACUGGUCGAGUCGGCCUGCGCGGAAGAUGUAACGGGGCUAAACCAUGCACCGAAGCUGCGGCAGCGACACUCAGGUGUUGUUGGGUAGGGGAGCGUUCUGUAAGCCUGUGAAGGUGUGUCGUGAGGCAUGCUGGAGGUAUCAGAAGUGCGAAUGCUGACAUAAGUAACGAUAAAGCGGGUGAAAAGCCCGCUCGCCGGAAGACCAAGGGUUCCUGUCCAACGUUAAUCGGGGCAGGGUGAGUCGACCCCUAAGGCGAGGCCGAAAGGCGUAGUCGAUGGGAAACGGGUUAAUAUUCCCGUACUUGGUGUUACUGCGAAGGGGGGACGGAGAAGGCUAUGUUGGCCGGGCGACGGUU
rnacentral:rRNA from 1 species